rnacentral:misc_RNA from 1 species
GCACAAUCUCCUGAUUCUGAAGAGUACACAUGCGCCUGUUGAUAGGUCCCUAAUUCCGUCACAAUAGGAUCAGUUGACACUAAAGCUCGCUCACACAUCUUAAUAGACCUAUGGAGCUCCUUUAAAUGACCAUACUUUGGUUGCCUGAUCAAACCAUAUUCAUCUAUUGGAGCAUCAUAGUCAUAACUGGUAGUAAUGAAAGGACCUCCAGCACUGCGACCAAAGUUGGUUCCGCCAUGGUACAUGUAGUAAUUAACAAAGGAUCCUCCUUUCUGUAUGAAUCGUGCAACUGCGAAAGCCAAAUCUUGGACUGGACGCUGGUGAAUUGG